rnacentral:rRNA from 1 species
UUCUGUCUCUAGUAAUUUAUGUUGAAUUUAACUUUUGGGUGAAAAGGCUUAAAUGUUUUAAAAAGACGAUAAGACCCUAUAAAGCUUUAUAAUAAGUUUUUGCUUGGUUGAAUUAGUAAAUAAAAUUUUAGUAGAUUAUAUUAUUUUGUUGGGGAGAUAAAAAUUAUAAUUUUUAAUAACUGUUGGAAAUUUAUACAAUUAUUUAUGAGUGAGUUAGUAAUAGAUCCUAUAAUAAAGAUUAAAAGUUUAAGUUACUUUAGGGAUAACAGCGUUAUUUUUUUUGAGAGUUCAUAUCGAAAAGAAAGAUUGCGACCUCGAUGUUGAAUUAAAAUUUCUAGAUAAUUGUAGCAGUUAUUUUAGAGGGUCUGUUCGACCUUUAAAUUUUUA